rnacentral:rRNA from 1 species
UACGUAGGGGCAAGCGUUAUCCGGAUUUAUUGGGCGUAAAGGGAACGCAGGCGGUCUUUUAAGUCUGAUGUGAAAGCCUUCGGCUUAACCGGAGUAGUGCAUUGGAAACUGGGAGACUUGAGUGCAGAAGAGGAGAGUGGAACUCCAUGUGUAGCGGUGAAAUGCGUAGAUAUAUGGAAGAACACCAGUGGCGAAAGCGGCUCUCUGGUCUGUAACUGACGCUGAGGUUCGAAAGCGUGGGUAGCAAACAGG